UCUCUGUGAUGAUUUCAUUGAUGACGAGUCUGAUAUAUCCAUUCCAUUCAUCGUGAAGACGAAACGAGGCAUUUGUCUGAGAGUU